GGUCAGAUAGUCUGGUGGUUAGGCAUCCCAGUACUAGUGGAAGGACCUGAGUUCAAUUCCCAGUCAGACCA